rnacentral:tRNA from 5 species
CAGGUCAGUGGCUAUCUCGUCCGCCUGAAAAGCGGAAGGUCGGCGGUUCGAUCCCGCCCCUGGCCA